GACGAACGCUGGCGGCGUGCUUAACACAUGCAAGUCGAGCGGUAAGGCCCUUUCGGGGGUACACGAGCGGCGAACGGGUGAGUAACACGUGGGUGACCUGCCCUCAGCUCUGGGAUAAGCCUGGGAAACCGGGUCUAAUACUGGAUAUGACUCCAUGACGCAUGUUGUGGGGUGGAAAGCCUUGUGCGGCUGAGGAUGGGCCCGCGGCCUAUCAGCUUGUUGGUGGGGUGAGGCCUACCAAGGCGACGACGGGUAGCCGGCCUGAGAGGGCGACCGGCCACACUGGGACUGAGACACGGCCCCAGACUCCUACGGGAGGCAGGCAGUGGGGAAUCUUGGCGCAAUGGGCGAAAAGCCUGACGCAGCGACGCCGCGUGAGGGAUGGACGGCCUGG
rnacentral:rRNA from 1 species